AGAGGUUGCAAGUCUGAGGCUAUAACAGAAGUGCACACAGUGCAGCCUGUCAGAUUCCAACAAAUCUGUGAAUUCUGCU
rnacentral:ribozyme from 1 species